AUUGAACGCUGGCGGCAGGCCUACCACAUGCAAGUCGAGCGAGCGGCGGACGGGUGAGUAAUGCAUCGGGAUCUGCACAGUAGGGGGGGAUAACUGCUGGAAACGGUGGCUAAUACCGCAUACUAUUGGCUGGGCCGAUGUCGGAGUAGCUGGUAGGGGGGGUAAAGGCUCACCUAGGCGACGAUAGUUAGCGGGUCUGAGAGGAUGAGCAGCCACACUGGGACUGAGACACGGCCCAGACUCCUACGGGAUGCAGCAGUGGGGAAUUUUGGACAAUGUGCGCAAGCCUGAUGCAGCCAUGCCGCGUGUAUGAAGAAGGCCUUAGGGUUGUAAAGUACUUUCAGCGAGGAGGCGUUACUCGCAGAAGAAGCACCGGCUAACUCCGUGCCAGCAGCCGCGGUAAUUC
rnacentral:rRNA from 1 species